ncrna:Bradyrhizobium japonicum TSDA 110 ZMP/ZTP riboswitch
GCUCGCUCGCGCGACUGGCGACCUUGGAUGGAGCACCAUCGGGAAGCGCGGGACUUAAGACGCCGCGCGCCUGGGCAUAGACA